rnacentral:rRNA from 1 species
GUGUCAGCAGCCGCGGUAAUACGGGAGUGGCAAGCGUUAUCCGGAAUUAUUGGGCGUAAAGCGUCCGCAGGCGGCUUUUCAAGUCUGCUGUUAAAGCGUGGAGCUUAACUCCAUCAUGGCAGUGGAAACUGAAAGGCUUGAGUAUGGUAGGGGCAGAGGGAAUUCCCGGUGUAGCGGUGAAAUGCGUAGAUAUCGGGAAGAACACCAGUGGCGAAGGCGCUCUGCUGGGCCAUUACUGACGCUCAUGGACGAAAGCCAGGGGAGCGAAAGGGAUUAGAUACCCCUGUAGUCCUGGCCGUAAACGAUGAACACUAGGUGUCGGGGGAAUCGACCCCUUCGGUGUCGUAGCUAACGCGUUAAGUGUUCCGCCUGGGGAGUACGCACGCAAGUGUGAA